rnacentral:rRNA from 1 species
CCUACGGGUGGCAGCAGUGAGGAAUAUUGGUCAAUGGGCGGAAGCCUGAACCAGCCAUGUAGCGUGCAGGAUGACGGCCCUACGGGUUGUAAACUGCUUUUAUCCGGGAAUAACGCGCCUUACGUGUAGGGCUUUGCAUGUACCGUAUGAAUAAGGACCGGCUACUUCCGUGCCAGCAGCCGCGGUAAUACGGAGGAUCCGAGCGUUAUCCGGAUUUAUUGGGUUUAAAGGGAGCGUAGGUGGAUGGUUAAGUCAGGUGUGAAAGUGUGCGGCUCAACCGUAGAAGUGCAGUUGAAACUGGCAGUCGUGAGUACAGAAGAGGUGGGCGGAAUGAGUGGUGUAGCGGUGAAAUGCUUAGAUAGCACGAAGAACUCCGAUUGCGAAGGCAGUUCACUGAACUGCAACUGACACUGAGGCACGAAAGCGUGGGUAUCAAACAGGAUUAGAUACCCCGGUAGUC